AGUGAACGCUGGCGGUAGGCCUAACACAUGCAAGUCGAACGGCAGCACAGGAGAGCCUGCUCUCUGGGUGGCGAGUGGCGGACGGGUGAGGAAUACAUCGGAAUCUACUCUGUCGUGGGGGAUAACGUAGGGAAACUUACGCUAAUACCGCAUACGACCUACGGGUGAAAGCAGGGGACCUUCGUGCCUUGCGCGAUUGAAUGAGCCGAUGUCGGAUUAGCUAGUUGGCGGGGUAAAGGCCCACCAAGGCGCCGAUCCGUAGCUGGUCUGAGAGGAUGAUCAGCCAAACUGGAACUGAGACACGGUCCAGACUCCUACGGGAGGCAGCAGUGGGGAAUAUUGGACAAUGGGCGCAAGCCUGAUCCAGCCAUACCGCGUGGGUGAAGAAGGCCUUCGGGUUGUAAAGCCCUUUUGUUGGGAAAGAAAUCCAGCUGGCUAAUACCCGGUUGGGAUGACGGUACCCAAAGAAUAAGCACCGGCUAACUUCGUGCCAGCCGCCGCCGUAA
rnacentral:rRNA from 1 species